GGAAGAUAAUGACGUUACUUGCAGAAAAAGCCCCGGCUAACUCCGUGCCAGCAGCCGCGGUAAGACGGAGGGGGCUAGCGUUGUUCGGAAUUACUGGGCGUAAAGAGUGCGUAGGCGGUUUAGUAAGUUGGAAGUGAAAGCCCGGGGCUUAACCUCGGAAUUGCUUUCAAAACUACUAAUCUAGAGUGUAGUAGGGGAUGAUGGAAUUCCUAGUGUAGAGGUGAAAUUCUUAGAUAUUAGGAGGAACACCGGUGGCGAAGGCGGUCAUCUGGGCUACAACUGACGCUGAUGCACGAAAGCGUGGGGAGCAA
rnacentral:rRNA from 2 species